CUUGACAUGUUCGUCGCGACUCUAAGAGAUUAGAGUCAUCGGUUCGGCCGGACGAAACACAGGUGCUGCAUGGCUGUCGUCAGCUCGUGUCGUGAGAUGUUGGGUUAAGUCCCGCAACGAGCGCAACCCUUACUUUUAGUUGCUACCAUUAAGUUGGGCACUCUAAAACAACUGCCGGUGAUAAGCUGGAGGAAGGUGGGGAUGACGUCAAGUCCUUAUGGCCCUUAUGUGUUGGGCUACACACGUGCUACAAUGGUACUUACAGUGAGAAGCAAAGAGGCGACUCUAAGCCAAUCCCUAAAAGGUACCUCAGUUCGGAUUGCACUCUGCAACUCGAGUGCAUGAAGCUGGAAUUACUAGUAAUCGCGGAUCAGCGCGCCGCGGUGAAUACGUUCCCGGGUCUUGUACACACCGCCCGUCACACCAUGGAAGUUGGUUACACCUUAAGGCAAAGAAUAAAAUCUUUGACUACGGUACGAUCAGCGACUGGGGUGAAGUCGUAACAAGGUAACC
rnacentral:rRNA from 1 species